rnacentral:rRNA from 1 species
UACGUAGGGUGCGAGCGUUAAUCGGAAUUACUGGGCGUAAAGCGUGCGCAGGCGGUUCGUUGUGUCUGUGGUGAAAGCCCCGGGCUUAACCUGGGAAUGGCCAUGGAAACUGGCGAGCUGGAGUGUGGCAGAGGGGGGUGGAAUUCCGCGUGUAGCAGUGAAAUGCGUAGAGAUGCGGAGGAACACCGAUGGCGAAGGCAGCCCCCUGGGUUGACACUGACGCUCAGGCACGAAAGCGUGGGGAGCGAACAGG